rnacentral:rRNA from 1 species
AACGACUCUCGGCAACGGAUAUCUCGGCUCACGCAUCGAUGAAGAACGUAGCAAAAUGCGAUACUUGGUGUGAAUUGCAGAAUCCCGUGAACCAUCGAGUUUUUGAACGCAAGUUGCGCCCAAUGCCAUUUGGUUGAGGGCACGCCUGCCUGGGCGUCACGC